UCUCACCAUGUGACAUGCCUAAUCCGCC
rnacentral:piRNA from 1 species